GCCAAGAGUAUGUGUGGGGGGCGGGGUACCUGGAGGCUUAAAGACCCUUAUGGCCUCCCCUGAAAGCCAGGUGGGGGGAGGCUUCCUGUCGUUGUGCCUGCUUCCUCCUCCUCCUCCACCUCUCCCCCUCCUGCUUCCCCUCCAGCUCACAACACAUCCCCCACCCCGUUUAGCACUGGCCGCCAACAAGGCACCGCGUCAGGAACGCGUCUCCAGGCGGAUCUGCUCUUGCACUUGGCGCCACCGUGAGCACGAGUCUGUGUGUGGAGGGUCAGGCCGUCGCGGCUGACGUGUGUCCCUGGACGGGUGGAGCCCUACAGGCUGAAGGACUCGGGGCCACUCAGAAUAAAGAGAUGCAUCAGCCGUGUCUUCACGAAGGCCAGGAGGCUGGGCCUCUGUCCGGGAGCCUGUCCUGCCGCCAUGCCAGCGUCGUGACCCCUCUGCCCUCAGCGGGCUGCGCUUUCCUUGGGGGUCUCCUUUGUCAAGUGCCCGCACCCUCGGAUGGAGGGUCGUCAUCGGAUUGAAAGGGUGUUCUGAUUCUUGUUUUCCCCAAUGUUCCCGCUAAAAAGGGCGGCCGCGGGAGAGGAGCAUCCUCGAGGCCUUGGGGAGGUGGCGGGAGUGGAGUUCCCGCCCUGUCCCCCUGGCUCCCAGGACAACGUGUCACAUCGCUCGUGCCUUCCUGUCUCAGCACGCGGUCUCCUGCGUUUUGUGUGAACUACUGGGCUGCAUGGACCAAGAAGCAGAGGUGUUGCGAGAUGAUCGCUGAACAACCGGUGAUGGGCCCUGAGCCCUGGGACAGCUACUUCCCGUCUGGGGGCUUCACCUUCGAGUCCUUACAGCGCCCCUCGAUGUGGGUUCCUGACCUUCGCUGGAUGGACAGAGAAGCCGGGACUUGGGGCAAGUGCCUCAUUCAAGGUGGGCAGACGGAGACUUGACACUUUGACACACACAGAGGAGAAGCCACGUGGAGGCGCAGCAGAGAGAGACGUGAAGACACUGGCCUCCAAGACUGAGUGAUGUGGCCACAAACCAAGGAGGGCUGGCAGCUCCCAGAAGCUGGAAGAAGCGAGGAACAGAUUCUCCCCUGAGCACAGCCCUGCUGACACCCUGAUUUUGGACCAGUGAUGCUAAUUUUAGAUUUCUGGCCUCCAGACCUGGGAGAGCAUCAAUUUCUUUUGUUUAAAACUCCCGUCUGUGGCAAUUUGUUAGGGCGGCCCCAGGACACAAAAACAGGGCCUCACACCUGAUCCCCACAGGCUCUUUGCACCCGAGACAGCUUUCUGCAUGAUUCUUUGCCUGAGCAUGGUGAUGCGGCUGGCCACUUGUGUUCCGUACACACUGAACGGUGGGAAUAGCAACUAACACUUCUUAUCUAAGCACUUCGCAUAAAUAAACCCAAUCCCCACAAAGCCCCAGGAGACAAGCUCCUGUUGUUAUCCCCAUUUGACAGACGGGGAAACUGAGGCAAAGAGUGGCCGAGCGACUCGUCCACUGCAGACUCACCGGGGAGAGGCAGAGGAAGGCCACCCCGUUGCUGAGCAGUGUUUCACCGCUCCGUGCUGCCUCCUGAAGCCUCGCAGCUUAGAGAAGCAGAGAAGAGCAUGGGCUUGGAAGGCGUUCGUCCGUCCAUUCAUUCGUUCGCAGAUAUAUAUCGAGAAUUUCCCGGGCCCUGGAGGAGCAGCUGUCAACAAAACUCGUGCCCUCUGCUCAUGGAACAGGUGUCCCAGUGAGACAACCACCAGAAGUAUAGCGUGUUUGGUGGCUGUAAGAGCCCUGGGGAAGCACUGGGCAGGGCCAGGGUCUCAAGUCUGCUGCGGUGCAAGUGUGUGUGCAUGUGCACGGGUGUUUGCCUGUGUGCCUUCGAGUGUGUGCGUAUGUGUCAGAUGCAUGCUAUUUCCCACAGCGGGUUGGGGAAGGCGGCCGAGCAGGUGAGAUUCUGGCAGAGCCCUGUGGGGGCCAAGGAGCCAGCCUGUGUGCUGGAGGAGCCCGUGGCUGGGGCCUUGGAGGCAGGUGGAGCCGGAGCAGAGGAGGUUGGAGCAGGCAGAGGGGGCUGGCAGCGCAGAGCCGUGCAGGCAACUGUGCAAGGGCCCGGGGAGGACAGAGCCGAGGGAAAACAUCAGAUUGUCCCAUCUUCCCUGUGUGGCUGUGGGCCAGACGCCUCACCUCUCUGAGCUUGGCUUUUCCCUUGAGGUUCCUCAUACGCGCUGCCCUGCCCCCGCUCCAGGAUCUUUGCAAAGUUGAAAUCAGGGAGUGAUUGUGCCUGGCACGUGGUCAGUGUAUGUCUCCACAACUGAGAGCAAGGACACCACGCCCUGCCGACGGGUGUCCGAUGACCGGAGGUCGCCGCGUGCGGGGGAGGCCCCCACCCCAGGGAGAGGAAGCCCCACUUCAAGGACCUUCACAGUCCCUUGAUGAUAACUAGUCUCUCCUUCCCUUGGAUAGCUACUUAUUCUUGGAAUUUUCAUUUUCUUCUUGGUUCUAGGAG
ensembl:lncRNA